GCGAACGGGUGAGUAAUAUAUCGGAACGUGCCCAAUUGUGGGGGAUAACGUAGAGAAAUUUACGCUAAUACCGCAUACGCUAAGGGAAAGCGGCGCAAUUGGAGCGGCUGAUAUCAGAUUAGCUUGUUGGUGAGGUAAAAGCUCACCAAGGCGACGAUCUGUAGCUGGUUUGAGAGAACGACCAGCCACACUGGGACUGAGACACGGCCCAGACUCCUACGGGAGGCAGCAGUGGGGAAUUUUGGACAAUGGGCGAAAGCCUGAUCCAGCAAUGCCGCGUGCAGGAAGAAGGCCUUCGGGUUGUAAACUGCUUUUGUACGGAACGAAUGACGGUACCGUAAGACUAAGCACCGGCUAACUACGUGCCAGCAGCCGCGGUAAUACGUAGGGUGCAAGCGUUAAUCGGAAUUACUGGGCGUAAAGCGUGCGCAGGCGGUUAUGUAAGACAGUUGUGAAAUCCCCGGGCUCAAACUGGGAAUUGCAUCUGUGAC
rnacentral:rRNA from 1 species